UGGCGGACGGGUGAGUAAUGUCUGGGAAACUGCCUGAUGGAGGGGGAUAACUACUGGAAACGGUAGCUAAUACCGCGUAACGUCGCAAGACCAAAGAGGGGGACCUUAGGGCCUCUUGCCAUCGGAUGUGCCCAGAUGGGAUUAGCUAGUAGGUGGGGUAACGGCUCACCUAGGCGACGAUCCCUAGCUGGUCUGAGAGGAUGACCAGCCACACUGGAACUGAGACACGGUCCAG
rnacentral:rRNA from 1 species